CAAUCCCAACCAAGGCUCAUAGCAAAGGAGUCACUCAGCACACACUCUCCUUCUAGCUCACACGCUCCUGAUUUCGGGAACACAGAAUGGUGCAGUCGCUGCAAGAGAUCCUGGAUGACCCUGAGGUGCUGCAAGGCUUAAAGCUGAAUCCAGCCUCCUUCAGGUUCCCAAUUAGUCCGUUGGUGGUGGCAUCGGCGGUUCACUGGCCGCCACACAUAAUGGUAACCCCCGGGACCGAUGGUGUCCUAACGCUCUCUUUAGCCAUGGGCAACGUGAUGCAAGUGCUCUCGCAGACGCUUAAUUUCACGUACAGCGUCAUAACACCUGAAGAUCAAUCGUGGGGAUCAGAACGACCUAAUGGCUCCUGGACGGGGAUGGUGGGCCAAGUAGUGGAGAAGAAGGCAGACAUAGCGCUGGGUCCAUUCGGCAUCAAGCUGAGUAGGAGCAGAGUGGUGGACUUCACUGAAUCACUUUACUUCGAUGACCGAGCCAUUCUGGCGAAGAAAGGUGAGCCAGAAAUUGACCCCUGGGGUUUCCUGUAUCCUCUAACGGACUCGGUGUGGGCGGCGCUAGCAGGCGUCCUGGCGGUGGUGUGCUUGAUGCUGGGGAUAGUCAGUCGUCGCCCCAAGGUUGUUACUCUCCUGGACUGGUCUAUAGAACUGCUACUGGAGAAUAUGCGUGUUUUUCUCAAUCAAGACGUAAAGGAUUCAUUGAUGCUGGGCUCGUUGAAAGUUCGAACUGUGCUGGGGUCGUGGAUGGUGGGGGCUGCCGUGGUGUAUUGGGGCUACUCGGGCAACCUCACUUCCCUGCUGGCGGUGCGGCACAUACCGCAACCCAUCCAGACUCUCAGGGACCUGAUCGACGACCCCACUAUCACUAUUAUAAUGAAACCAAACACCAUUGUCACGGACACCAUCUCCAAAAUGAAGACUGGUGAGCUGCGGGAACUCCAUGAGCUUCAGUUUAAGGGUCGCGUGAAGUAUCAACACGCCAGCACCUUCCCUGCCGCGCUGGAACACCGUGGUCCGCCGCCACCGGCACGUCGUCAUCUCCACCAGUCUCUCUGGCGAUCUCCACAUGGCUAACCUCUUCACUCAAACAGGGAGAUGUGACUUCUACAAGGCGAGACAAACCUUUUUCACCUCCACAUACUGCAUGAUUGGCCAGAAGGGCAGCCCCAUCGUUCCAGCCAUAACACACAGGAUCCGCUCUCUGAUCGAGUCUGGCUUGUACGGACACUGGCUGCUGAGCGAGAUUCCCGCCAUCACCACCUGCCGCUCCUCGCCGCCUAUCACACUCGUGAGAGCGCCGCUGUCCCUCGCCAACCUGUGGGGCGCAGUGGUGGUGUUGGGCACGGGGCAUCUGGUGGCUUUGGUGGCCUUCUUGCUCGAGCUGUGCUGGGCCCGGACCUGUCACUGCAGACACUCUUCCAUGAUACCCGCCAAGGACGCACGCUAUCCAUUCUCAGGGUCAUAUCCAAAUGUGACAAACACUGUGGAUGUUGAUACCGGAUCUCGUGUCUUGAAGCCCUAGAAUGUGAAAUUUACCCUUUCAUAAUUGUCAAAAAAAAAAAACUUUUUCCACCUCUCUAUAACAUUUGAUGCUCAUCAUUAUCUCCCAGUGAUGGCAUUGUUGCUAAGGUUUGCAAGAUGAUAUCAAUCAACACACAUUUCACGCGUGUCGUCGCCAAGUUACACGUGUCAUCACAAUGUUUGAGCUGUAGAGAAAUAACACCGAGUUCCUUAGUUAUUUUUGUUAUAAUUUGCAUAAAGUACAUGCUCUUCACUGCAUCCUUGUUGAGAUUCUUAUCGUGUGGGAAUGUAUUAUAGAUUCCUUGAUAAAUUUCAUUGUAAUUUUAUGAAUGACGAUAUAAAUAGAAUUUGUUUUAUU
rnacentral:misc_RNA from 1 species